AGCCAUGCGAGUCAUUGUAGUAAUACAAGGCAGACGGCUCAGUAACGCGUAGUCAACCUAACCUAUGGACGGGGAUAAUCUCGGGAAACUGAGCAUAAUACCCGAUAGAACAUUAUGCCUGGAAUGGUUUAUGUUCCAAAUGAUUUAUCGCCGUAGGAUGGGACUGCGGCCUAUCAGUUUGUUGGUGAGGUAAUGGCCCACCAAGACUAUUACAGGUACGGGCUCUGAGAGGAGUAGCCCGGAGAUGGGUACUGAGACACGGACCCAGGCCCUAUGGGGCGCAGCAGGCGAGAAAACUUUGCAAUGUGCGAAAGCACGACAAGGUUAAUCCGAGUGGUUUCUGCUAAAGGAACCUUUUGACAGUCCUAGAAACACUGUUGAAUAAGGGGUGGGCAAGUUCUGGUGUCAGCCGCCGCGGUAAAACCAGCACCUCAAGUGGUCAGGAUGAUUAUUGGGCCUAAAGCAUCCGUAGCCGGCUCUGUAAGUUUUCGGUUAAAUCUGUACGCUCAACGUACAGGCUGCCGGGAAUACUGCAGAGCUAGGGAGUGGGAGAGGUAGACGGUACUCGGUAGGAAGGGGUAAAAUCCUUUGAUCUAUUGAUGACCACCUGUGGCGAAGGCGGUCUACCAGAACACGUCCGACGGUGAGGGAUGAAAGCUGGGGGAGCAAACCGGAUUAGAUACCCGGGUAGUCCCAGCUGUAAACCAUGCAAACUCAGUGAUGCAUUGGCUUGUGGGCCAAUGCAGUGCUGCAGGGAAGCCGUUAAGUUUGCCGCCUGGGAAGUACGUACGCAAGUAUGAAACUUAAAGGAAUUGGCGGGG
rnacentral:rRNA from 1 species